UAUGUUUCGGACGCACAAUAAGGCAUAGACAACGUCAGGUCAGAAACUUACCUGACGUGUUAGACGUCAUCCCACGUGACUCAUUCACAUCCGUCGCUCGGAAAGGAGUGCAAGCGCCAUUUUGUUGGUCUGCUGUAGCAGAUUUGGUUACCCAUUGAAGUCAAUAGGCAACAAAAUCUGCAGAAAUAGAUCUGCAGCAGAUAAUAAGAACAGGAUGAUUUUACCAGAUGAAUCUAGUGAAGUUGAGUCUUCUAAAACUUCUCUCAUGAAGGACUGUUCCAAACAUCCAUGUUGCGGGGAGGCUCAUCAAGAAGACCCAUUUAGUUAGUUAUUCUUUAGUUAUUCUUAGAACACUAAGCAACAUUUACACUUAUGUGUAGGCAAGUGGAUGGAACAUAUUAAAGUUAACCACACAAUGACCAUGUUUUAUAAAAGUUGUUUAUUUCAUUUUUUAGUACGAAAGGAGACAUCAAAGAACACAUUCCUGGUCACGUUCAUCUCGUUUUAAUGGCCGCACUGGUCCGAUACUUACCGCAACCUUUUG